rnacentral:rRNA from 1 species
CUACGGGAGGCAGCAGUCGAGAAUUUUUCACAAUGGGGGAAACCCUGAUGGAGCGACGCCGCGUGGGGGAUGAAUGGCUUCGGCCCGUAAACCCCUGUCAUUCGCGAUCAAAGCGCAUUGUUUAAGAGAUGAUGUGUUGAUAGUAGCGGAAGAGGAAGGGACGGCUAACUCUGUGCCAGCAGCCGCGGUAAUACAGAGGUCCCGAGCGUUGUUCGGAUUCACUGGGCGUAAAGGGUGCGUAGGUGGUGGCGUAAGUCGGAUGUGAAAUCUCGGAGCUCAACUCCGAAACGGCAUUGGAAACUGCGCUGCUUGAGGGUUGGAGGGGGGACUGGAAUACUUGGUGUAGCAGUGAAAUGCGUAGAUAUCAAGUGGAACACCAGUGGCGAAGGCGAGUCCCUGGACAACACCUGACACUGAGGCACGAAAGCUAGGGGAGCAAACAGGAUUAGAUACCCCGGU